rnacentral:rRNA from 1 species
AGAGUUUGAUCCUGGCUCAGAUUGAACGCUGGCGGCAGGCUUAACACAUGCAAGUCGAGCGGAAACGAUGAUAGCUUGCUAUCAGGCGUCGAGCGGCGGACGGGUGAGUAAUACUUAGGAAUCUACCUAGUAGUGGGGGAUAGCACGGGGAAACUCGUAUUAAUACCGCAUACGACCUACGGGGGAAAGGGGGCAGUUUACUGCUCUCGCUAUUAGAUGAGCCUAAGUCGGAUUAGCUAGAUGGUGGGGUAAGGGCCUACCAUGGCGACGAUCUGUAGCUGGUCUGAGAGGAUGAUCAGCCACACCGGGACUGAGACACGGCCCGGACUCCUACGGGAGGCAGCAGUGGGGAAUAUUGGACAAUGGGGGAAACCCUGAUCCAGCCAUGCCGCGUGUGUGAAGAAGGCCUUUUGGUUGUAAAGCACUUUAAGCAGUGAAGAAGACUCUCGGUUAAUACCCGGAGACGAUGACAUUAGCUGCAGAAUAAGCACCGGCUAACUCUGUGCCAGCAGCCGCGGUAAUACAGAGGGUGCAAGCGUUAAUCGGAAUUACUGGGCGUAAAGGGAGCGUAGGUGGCUCGAUAAGUCAGAUGUGAAAUCCCCGGGCUCAACCUGGGAACUGCAUCUGAUACUGUUGAGCUAGAGUAUGUGAGAGGAAGGUAGAAUUCCAGGUGUAGCGGUGAAAUGCGUAGAGAUCUGGAGGAAUACCGAUGGCGAAGGCAGCCUUCUGGCAUAAUACUGACACUGAGGCUCGAAAGCGUGGGUAGCAAACAGGAUUAGAUACCCUGGUAGUCCACGCCCUAAACGAUGUCAACUGGUUGUUGGGAGGGUUUCUUCUCAGUAACGUAGCUAACGCGUGAAGUUGACCGCCUGGGGAGUACGGCCGCAAGGUUGAAACUCAAAGGAAUUGACGGGGACCCGCACAAGCGGUGGAUGAUGUGGUUUAAUUCGAUGCAACGCGAAAAACCUUACCUACCCUUGACAUGUCUGGAAUCCUGAAGAGAUUUGGGAGUGCUCGAAAGAGAGCCAGAACACAGGAGCUGCAUGGCCGUCGUCAGCUCGUGUCGUGAGAUGUUGGGUUAAGUCCCGCAACGAGCGCAACCCUUGUCAUUAGUUGCUACGAAAGGGCACUCUAAUGAGACUGCCGGUGACAAACCGGAGGAAGGUGGGGAUGACGUCAGGUCAUCAUGGCCCUUAUGGGUAGGGCUACACACGUCAUACAAUGGCCGGGACAGAGGGCUGCCAACCCGCGAGGGGGAGCUAAUCCCAGAAACCCGGUCGUAGUCCGGAUCGUAGUCUGCAACUCGACUGCGUGAAGUCGGAAUCGCUAGUAAUCGCGGAUCAGCUUGCCGCGGUGAAUACGUUCCCGGGUCUUGUACACACCGCCCGUCACACCAUGGGAGCGGGUUCUGCCAGAAGUAGUUAGCCUAACCGCAAGGAGGGCGAUUACCACGGCAGGGUUCGUGACUGGGGUGAAGUCGUAACAAGGUAACCGUA